rnacentral:rRNA from 1 species
UACGGGGGGGGCAAGCGUUGUUCGGAAUUACUGGGCGUAAAGGGCUCGUAGGUGGCCAACUAAGUCAUACGUGAAAUCCCUCGGCUUAACCGGGGAACUGCGUCUGAUACUGGAUGGCUUGAAUCCGGGAGAGGGAUGCGGAAUUCCAGGUGUAGCGGUGAAAUGCGUAGAUAUCUGGAGGAACACCGGUGGCGAAGGCGGCGAUCUGGAUAGAUACUGACGCUGAGGUGCGAAAGCGUGGGGGAGCAAACA